CAAGGCUUGACAUAUACGAGAACGGGCCAGAAAUGGUCAACUCUUUGGACACUCGUAAACAGGUGGUGCAUGGUUGUCGUCAGCUCGUGUCGUGAGAUGUUGGGUUAAGUCCCGCAACGAGCGCAACCCUCGUUCUAUGUUGCCAGCACGUAAUGGUGGGAACUCAUGGGAUACUGCCGGGGUCAACUCGGAGGAAGGUGGGGAUGACGUCAAAUCAUCAUGCCCCUUAUGUCUCGGGCUUCACGCAUGCUACAAUGGCCGGUACAAAGGGCUGCAAUACCGCGAGGUGGAGCGAAUCCCAAAAAGCCGGUCCCAGUUCGGAUUGAGGUCUGCAACUCGACCUCAUGAAGUCGGAGUCGCUAGUAAUCGCAGAUCAGCAACGCUGCGGUGAAUACGUUCCC
rnacentral:rRNA from 1 species